rnacentral:tRNA from 1 species
UCCGGCCGGCCGGGGGUGGUGGCCGGGCGGGGGUUCGGGGUGCCCGGGGCGCUCGCCUCGCUCGCCUCGUCGUGGUUCCGGUCCGCCGGCCGGGU